CAGGUAGGGAUACCCGCUGAACUUAAGCAUAUCAUAAA
rnacentral:rRNA from 1 species